UGCGGAGGGGGCUAGCGUUGUUCGGAAUUACUGGGCGUAAAGCGCACGUAGGCGGCUUUGCAAGUCAGAGGUGAAAGCCCGGGGCUCAACCCCGGAAUUGCCUUUGAGACUGCAUCGCUAGAAUUGUGGAGAGGUAAGUGGAAUUCCGAGUGUAGAGGUGAAAUUCGUAGAUAUUCGGAAGAACACCAGUGGCGAAGGCGACUUACUGGACACAUAUUGACGCUGAGGCGCGAAAGCGUGGGGAGCAAACAGG
rnacentral:rRNA from 1 species